rnacentral:rRNA from 1 species
CGCGUAGGCGGCUUUGCAAGUGACGGGUGAAAUCCCUCGGCUUAACCGAGGAACUGCCUGUCAAACUGCAUGGCUUGAGACCGGGAGAGGUGAGUGGAAUUCCCAGUGUAGCGGUGAAAUGCGUAGAUAUUGGGAGGAACACCAGUGGCGAAGGCGGCUCACUGGACCGGAACUGACGCUGAUGCGCGAAAGCGUGGGGAGCAAACA